rnacentral:rRNA from 1 species
GACGAACGCUGGCGGCGUGCCUAAUACAUGCAAGUAGAACGCUGAAGAGAGGAGCUUGCUCUUCUUGGAUGAGUUGCGAACGGGUGAGUAACGCGUAGGUAACCUGCCUUGUAGCGGGGGAUAACUAUUGGAAACGAUAGCUAAUACCGCAUAACAAUAGGUGACACAUGUCAUUUAUUUGAAAGGGGCAAUUGCUCCACUACAAGAUGGACCUGCGUUGUAUUAGCUAGUAGGUGAGGUAACGGCUCACCUAGGCGACGAUACAUAGCCGACCUGAGAGGGUGAUCGGCCACACUGGGACUGAGACACGGCCCAGACUCCUACGGGAGGCAGCAGUAGGGAAUCUUCGGCAAUGGGGGCAACCCUGACCGAGCAACGCCGCGUGAGUGAAGAAGGUUUUCGGAUCGUAAAGCUCUGUUGUAAGUCAAGAACGAGUGUGAGAGUGGAAAGUUCACACUGUGACGGUAGCUUACCAGAAAGGGACGGCUAACUACGUGCCAGCAGCCGCGGUAAUACGUAGGUCCCGAGCGUUGUCCGGAUUUAUUGGGCGUAAAGCGAGCGCAGGCGGUUUGAUAAGUCUGAAGUUAAAGGCUGUGGCUCAACCAUAGUUCGCUUUGGAAACUGCCAAACUUGAGUGCAGAAGGGGAGAGUGGAAUUCCAUGUGUAGCGGUGAAAUGCGUAGAUAUAUGGAGGAACACCGGUGGCGAAAGCGGCUCUCUGGUCUGUAACUGACGCUGAGGCUCGAAAGCGUGGGGAGCGAACAGGAUUAGACACCCUGGUAGUCCACGCCGUAAACGAUGAGUGCUAGGUGUUGGAUCCUUUCCGGGAUUCAGUGCCGCAGCUAACGCAUUAAGCACUCCGCCUGGGGAGUACGACCGCAAGGUUGAAACUCAAAGGAAUUGACGGGGGCCCGCACAAGCGGUGGAGCAUGUGGUUUAAUUCGAAGCAACGCGAAGAACCUUACCAGGUCUUGACAUCCCGAUGCUAUUUCUAGAGAUAGAAAGUUACUUCGGUACAUCGGUGACAGGUGGUGCAUGGUUGUCGUCAGCUCGUGUCGUGAGAUGUUGGGUUAAGUCCCGCAACGAGCGCAACCCCUAUUGUUAGUUGCCAUCAUUCAGUUGGGCACUCUAGCGAGACUGCCGGUAAUAAACCGGAGGAAGGUGGGGAUGACGUCAAAUCAUCAUGCCCCUUAUGACCUGGGCUACACACGUGCUACAAUGGUUGGUACAACGAGUUGCGAGUCGGUGACGGCAAGCUAAUCUCUUAAAGCCAAUCUCAGUUCGGAUUGUAGGCUGCAACUCGCCUACAUGAAGUCGGAAUCGCUAGUAAUCGCGGAUCAGCACGCCGCGGUGAAUACGUUCCCGGGCCUUGUACACACCGCCCGUCACACCACGAGAGUUUGUAACACCCGAAGUCGGUGAGGUAACCUUUUGGAGCCAGCCGCCUAAGGUGGGAUAGAUGAUUGGGGUGAAAU